GCUCAUGGCCGCCUCCAGGACGCUCAGCACUUUCCGUCUCCCGCCGUUACCCACGAUUAGAGAAAUCAUUAAGUUGUUUAGACUGCAAGCCGUGAAGCAGCUAUCCCAGAAUUUCUCUUGGACUUGAGGCUGACAGAUAAAAUUGUAAGGAAAGCUGGCAGUCUGACAAAUGCUUGUGUUUAUGAAGUGGGCCCUGGGCCUAGGGGAAUCACAAGAUCCAUUCUCAAUGCCGGUGUUGCUGAACUUCUGGUGGUUGAAAAGGAUAGUCAAUUUACUCCUGGGUUAAAGAUGCUUUCUGAUGCAGCACCUGGAAAACUGAGAAUUGUCCAUGGAGAUGUCUUGACAUUUAAGAUAGAAAGGGCUUUUCCAGAAAGUCUCAAAAGACAGUGGGAGGAUGAUCUUCCAAAUGUACGUAUUAUUGGAAAUCUGCCUUUUAGUGUAUCAACUCCACUGAUUAUCACAUGGCUUGAAAAUGUUUCUCAUAGAAAUGGACCUUUUGCUUAUGGCAGAACCCAGAUGACUUUUCAAAAGGAAGUGGCAGAGAGACUUACAGCCAGUACAGGAAGCAAGCAGCAUAGUCGCCUCUCCAUCAUGGCCCAGUACCUCUGCGACGUUCAGCACAUCUUGACAAUUGCAGGUCAGACUUUCAUCCCCAAACCAGAGGUGGACUUGGGGGUGGUGCAUUUCACCCCCCUGACCCGGCCCAGGAUAGAGCAGCCAUUCAGGCUGGUGGAGAGAGUCGUUCAGAAUGCCUUUCAGUUCCGAAGGAAAUACUGCCAUCGAGGGCUUGGAACGUUAUUCCCUGAAGCUCGGCGAUUAGAAAGCACUGGGAAACUGCUACGCUUGGCAGAUGUGGACCCUACUCUUCGACCCACCCGGCUCUCUGUCUUACAUUUUAAGAGCCUCUGUGACGCAUACCGAAGAAUGUGUGAUGAAGACCCACACCUCUUUGCUUACAAUUUCAGAGAAGAACUCAAGCAAAAAUCAAAAAAAAAUGAUGACAGGAGGAACUGUUCCCUAGAAAUCUGUGCUGUUGCUACUCCAGAACCCAGCUGGAGAUGCAGUCUGCUCAUGUCAACCAAGCAGGCACUAAGACCGCAGACUCCACCCGCCUUUACCCAGCCAGCUCUGCUCACUGACUCCAAGGGGGCCCAACACCAGCAUCAGGACAGGACAGGUUGCCGCCAGACACCCAAAGUCAUCAUGAUGAAUUAG